UGGGGAAUUUUGGACAAUGGGGGAAACCCUGAUCCAGCCAUCCCGCGUGUGCGAUGAAGGCCUUCGGGUUGUAAAGCACUUUUGGCAGGAAAGAAACGUCGCGGGUUAAUACCCCGCGAAACUGACGGUACCUGCAGAAUAAGUACCGGCUAACUACGUGCCAGCAGCCGCGGUAAUACGUAGGGUGCAAGCGUUAAUCGGAAUUACUGGGCGUAAAGCGUGCGCAGGCGGUUCGGAAAGAAAGAUGUGAAAUCCCAGAGCUUAACUUUGGAACUGCAUUUUUAACUACCGGGCUAGAGUGUGUCAGAGGGAGGUGGAAUUCCGCGUGUAGCAGUGAAAUGCGUAGAUAUGCGGAGGAACACCGAUGGCGAAGGCAGCCUCCUGGGAUAACACUGACGCUCAUGCACGAAAGCGUGGGGAGCAAACAGGAUUAGAUACCCUGGUAGUCCACGCCCUAAACGAUGUCAGCUAGCUGUUGGGGCCUUCGGGCCUUGGUAGCGCAGCUAACGCGUGAAGUUGACCGCCUGGGGAGUACGGUCGC
rnacentral:rRNA from 1 species